AGACCGAUGGUGUAGUGGUGUAGCACGUUGCGUUCGAAUGUGAAGGGGAGUGGUUCGAUUCCUUUCCGGUCCA
rfam:Gongylonema pulchrum genome assembly, scaffold: GPTH_scaffold0005236